GAUGAACGCUGGCGGCGUGCUUAACACAUGCAAGUCGAACGAGAAGUGGAGACGGAAACCUUCGGGCGGAAGACUUUAUUUCGAGUGGCGGGCGGGUGAGUAACGCGUGGGUAACCUGCCUCAUACAGGGGGAUAACAGUUGGAAACGACUGUUAAUACCGCAUAAGACCACAGCACCGCAUGGUGCGGGGGUAAAAACUCCGGUGGUAUGAGAUGGACCCGCGUUCGAUUAGCCAGUUGGCGGGGUAACGGCCCACCAAAGCGACGAUCGAUAGCCGAUCUGAGAGGAUGACCGGCCACAUUGGGACUGAGACACGGCCCAAACUCCUACGGGAGGCAGCAGUGGGGAAUAUUGCACAAUGGGGGAAACCCUGAUGCAGCGACGCCGCGUGAGUGAAGAAGUAUUUCGGUAUGUAAAGCUCUAUCAGCAGGGAAGAAAAUGACGGUACCUGAGUAAGAAGCCCCGGCUAACUACGUG
rnacentral:rRNA from 1 species